AACGAACGCUGGCGGCACGCCUAACACAUGCAAGUCGAACGAAGCCUUCGGGCUUAGUGGCGCACGGGUGCGUAACGCGUGGGAAUCUGCCCUUGGGUUCGGAAUAACAGUUAGAAAUGACUGCUAAUACCGGAUGGUGUCUUCGGACCAAAGAUUUAUCGCCCAAGGAUGAGCCCGCGUAGGAUUAGGUAGUCGGUGGGGUAAUGGCCCACCAAGCCGACGAUCCUUAGCUGGUCUGAGAGGGUGAUCAGCCACACUGGGACUGAGACACGGCCCAGACUCCUACGGGAGGCAGCAGUGGGGAAUAUUGGACAAUGGGCGAAAGCCUGAUCCAGCAAUGCCGCGUGAGUGAUGAAGGCCUUCGGGUUGUAAAGCUCUUUUACCAGGGAUGAUAGUGACAGUACCUGGAGAAUAAGCUCCGGCUAACUCCGUGCCAGCCGCCGCAGUAA
rnacentral:rRNA from 1 species